rnacentral:tRNA from 1 species
UAAUAAGAUAAACUAUUUAAACAUAAGUUAUAGGACUCAUAACCCUAUCAAGGAUUCAACCCUCUUAUUAA